GAUGAACGCUGGCGGCGUGCCUAAUACAUGCAAGUCGAACGAGGUGCUUGAGUAGCAAUACGAGAGUAUCCUAGUGGCGAACGGGUGAGUAACGCGUUGGUGACCUACCCCAAAGUGUGGGAUAACAGUCCGAAAGGAUUGCUAAUACCGCAUGUGGUCUUCGGGUUUAGAAACCGAUGACGAAAGCAGCAAUGCGCUUUGGGAGGGACCUGCGUCCCAUCAGCAGUUGGUGAGGUAACGGCUCACCAAGGCGACGACGGGUAGGGGACCUGAGAGGGUGACCCCCA
rnacentral:rRNA from 1 species